rnacentral:rRNA from 1 species
CACGGGGGUUGCGAGCGUUGUCCGGAAUUACUAGGCGUAAAGGGCAGGCAGGCGGAUCCAUAAGUUUAUCGUUUAAGGCGUCGGCUUAACCGGCGUAGGGCGGUAGAUACUGUGGAUCUGAAAUGCGGUUGGGGAAGACAGAAUUCCUGGUGUAGCGGUGGAAUGCGCAGAGAUCAGGAGGAAUACCGAAGGCGAAGGCAGUCUUCCAAGCCGUUAUUGACGCUCAACUGCGAAGGUGUGGGUAUCAAACAGGAUUAGAUACCCUCGUAGUCCCUGA